GCCAUGCAGAGCACCGACGCACUAGAUGGAUACGACCACGGACCUAUGCACUGCUGGCGGGAGUAUUUUCUGACUUCAAGCACAAAUAACACCCGAACUGAAAGCAAUACUGGAGAGAUAAGCAAUAAUAUCAUAAAUGGUACCUUAUCGGCUGGAAGUAUUCAAGGCUCUAACCAAGGAUCGGAGUAGGCUUUAUUCUAUGUUUUCCAGAUAAAUGAAGUUGCAACAUUGUCUAGCGUGCAGAACAACCUCAAGCUGUAAAUACAAGAAAGUAAUAGAUCUUAGAAAAACGGAUUGCAAGACAAAUGAAAUUAUUUACAA
rnacentral:lncRNA from 1 species